GCCCAGGUAGCUCAGUUGGUAGAGCAGUGGACUGAAAAUCCACGUGUCGGUGGUUCAACUCCGCCUCUGGGCACCA
rnacentral:tRNA from 2 species